rnacentral:rRNA from 1 species
GCUUAGCAUGAAGUGAAGCACAUACACCUGCUGAAUUUAAGCAUAUAAGUAAGUGGUGGAAAUUAAACCAAAUGGGAUAUCUUUAGUAAUUGCGAAUGAACAAGGAUAUGCUUAGCUUGACAAAUGGAGCUAUUGGCUUUGAAUUGUAUUGUGGAAAUGUAUUACCAACAGAGGUGCAGGUGCCAGCCUAUUGAAAUAAAGCGUCAAUGAGGGUGAGAAUCCUGUUUGUCAUGUGCAGCCCUUUGUGCACGGUGUAUAUUUGCUGAGUCACACUCCUUGGCAUUGGAAUGCAAAGUGGGUGGUAAGUUUCAUGUAAAGGUAAACAUGCAAUUGAGACUGAUAGCACACAAGUACCAUGAGGGAAAUAUGAAAAGGACUUUGAAAAGAGAAUUAAAUGAGUUUGUAUUUGCUGAACACAAAGUAAACAGACUUGAUUUGCUUGGUGGGAGUGUUGCACUUGCUUGACAAGAGCUUUGGGCUGUGGGUGUAAUGAUUCUUUCUUUGCAUGCCAGUUUCUAUUUGUACAUCUGAUUACCUUUGCACAUGAAUGAUAAGUCUCCUGUGGGGGGUGGAUUGCAUGUGCAUGUAAUGAUUUGUGUUUUGAUAAAUGUGUCUGGUGUAUGUGUGUGUUCCUGUGCUUGGGGAUGCUUCCUUCCUUGGACUUACAAGCCCUGACACACACAUGCUGGCAAAAUGCUUCUGCUUGACCCGUCUUGAAACACGGACCAAGGAGUCUAACAGAUGUGCAAAGUUUGAAGGCGGUAUACCUUUGUGUGCAAUGAAAGUGUCAGCUGGGAUAUGUGCACCAGCACCCAAUUAAUUAGCGGACAGAGGUUUGAGUUGGAGCAUAUCUAUUAGGACCCGAAAGAUGGUGAACUAUGCCUGAACAGAAUGAAUUCAGAGGAAACUCUGAUGGAGGUUCGUAUCGAUACUGACGUGCAAAUCGUUCGU